rnacentral:rRNA from 2 species
GGAUGCGAUCAUACCAGCACUAAAGCACCGGAUCCCAUCAGAACUCCGAAGUUAAGCGUGCUUGGGCGAGAGUAGUACUAUGAUGGGUGACCUCCUGGGAAGUCCUCGCGUGGCAUUCC